GCCUAGUUAGCUUAGUUGGUAGUGCUUCUGCCUUGUAAGCGCUAGGCCGCGGGUUCGAUUCCCGCCCGGGGCG
rfam:Asian citrus Psyllid, Diaphorina citri - Florida Strain, whole genome shotgun sequence.